UACGGGGGGGGCAAGCGUUGUUCGGAAUUACUGGGCGUAAAGGGCUCGUAGGUGGCCAACUAAGUCAGACGUGAAAUCCCUCGGCUUAACCGGGGAACUGCGUCUGAUACUGGAUGGCUUGAGUUCGGGAGAGGGAUGCGGAAUUCCAGGUGUAGCGGUGAAAUGCGCAGAUAUCAGGAGGAACACCGGUGGCGAAGGCGGAUCUCUGGGCCAUUACUGACGCUGAGGAGCGAAAGCGUGGGGAGCAAACAGG
rnacentral:rRNA from 1 species